UAUUCCUACGGGGGGCAGCAGUGGGGAAUAUUGCGCAAUGGGGGAAACCUUGACGCAGCAACGCCGCGUGAGUGAGGAAGUAUCUCGGUAUGUAAAGCUCUAUCAGCGGGGAAGAAGGAAGACGGUACCCGACUAAGAAGCCCUGGCUAACUACGUGCCAGCAGCCGCGGUAAUACGUAGGGGGCGAGCGUUAUCCGGAUUUACUGGGUGUAAAGGGAGCGUAGACGGCGUCGCAAGUCUGAAGUGAAAGCCCGGGGCUCAACCGCGGAACCGCUUUGGAAACUGCGAGGCUGGAGGGCUGGAGG
rnacentral:rRNA from 1 species